rnacentral:lncRNA from 1 species
UACGCCGGCGCUGUGGUCCGGGCGGUGAUGUUCGCUUGCGACCGAAAGCGUGUACGUCAUCCGAUCAUUUGCAGCGAGAGCGGUCGAGCGCUCGUGUCGCACCAGUCGGUGCUCAUCUUCGAAGCGGUCUCAUCCAACGCCACCAGAGCUGCGCCGUUGUCGUCCGUCGGCCCAAACUCUGCAUUGUUUCUCGACGAGCUGGCGGACGAUGCUCGUUCCGAUUACAACAACUUGAUGGCGGCUGCCUACUGCGGCGAGUACGAGACCUGCGCUGUGUAUGCUAACCAGUUGAAGCAGAGAUGCAUCGACCAUUUCAAGGACGGAGUUCUCGGCCUCGAACACCUGGCGGCCGUCGACGGUCUCUGCGACCUCGUGGC